rnacentral:pre_miRNA from 1 species
AUUGCUGGGUCCGGAUUAGGUAAUCUGCAUCCUGAGGUUUAGGACAAUAUCCUUUGUUUUGUUUCUAGUCCUUGGGAUGCAGAUUACGUCUUCCUUGCCAGCACUGUA